CUCCAUGUUGUGUUUGUAUAUGACAAGUAUCUUUUUUAUUAAUUCACUGGUUUCUCUUUUCUCCCGUAGCUUAGAACAAUCUGGGAAAAAUGUGUGUCGAAAGGUGCGUAUAUUUGAUUUUGCUUGUAUAUUGCAUUGGUACCAUCUUUCUUUGCUAUAAUAUGUAUCAAGUUCUAUUCGGGGCAAAGAGAAAAGAGAUUCCAUUCCAUGAUGAGUAGGAAAGGCGCUUCAUGCCGUAGGAUUUUAAAAAAAUGAUGAAAUCAUUAGCUUCUUGAUGUCAAUCAAAAUGUUGAUCUUUCAAUAAAUCUUACAGCAAUGUAAAAACCCAACCCAAAAGCUAAAAAA